AUGGGUAGCUGGUGGGCUCCCUGUGAGGCUGCGCUGAGAGCCGCUCCUCGGCGCCUGAGCCCAAAGACCCCUGGAGCGCUCAGGGUGAGCCGGGGCCGCCGCCGGGCACAGGGUGGGACUGUGGCACGGGUUUUUGUGCCGCGCUCGGGGGCCGUGAACCAAGGGACCCAGUACUUCGGGCCAGGCACGCGGCUGCUGGUGCUAGAGGACCUGAAGAAGGUGGCCCCACCCAAGGUCACUGUGUUUGAGCCAUCAGAAGCAGAGAUCAACAGGAAAAAAAAGGCCACCCUCGUGUGCCUGGCCACAGACUUCUACCCAGACCACGUGGAGCUGAGCUGGUGGGUGAAUGGAAAGGAGGUGCAAAAUGGGGUCAGCACGGACCCUCAGCCCUCCAGUGCCGCCAAUGACUCCAAAUACUUCCUGAGCAGUCGCCUGAGGGUCUCUGCCACCUUCUGGCUCAACCCUCGCAACCACUUCCGCUGCCAAGUGCAGUUCUAUGGGCUCUCAGAGGAAGACGAGUGGCCCGAGGAGGGGCCCAAACCCAUCACCCAGAACGUCAGUGCUGAGGUCUGGGGCCGAGCAGACUGUGGUGUCACCUCAGUGACCUAUCAGCAAGGGGUGCUGUCUGCCACCAUCCUCUAUGAGAUCCUGCUGGGGAAGGCCACUGUGUAUGCUGUGCUGGUCAGCACCCUGGUGCUGAUGGCCAUGGUGAAGAAGAAGAAUUGCUGAGGCCAGGUCUGAUCCCGUGUCUUGUGCUGUUCUCCAGCCUCACCUUGAUUCUCCUGUUCCUAAUCCAACCUAUGGACCUAAAGAGUUACUCUGUUCACCUCUCAUCACCUUCCUACUGAGAUAUUCAUCCUUCUCUCUGCUUCUGGGAAGAUUGAGCUCAUAGCCCUGAAUCUGAAACAAAUUUUUACCAAUAAAAAUGGUACUUGGGGCCUG